rnacentral:lncRNA from 1 species
GAGGUCGCGACACACCUGAGCAGGGAGCGCGUGCCAGUGCCACCACCCAUGGCGAGCACCAACAUGGCCUCGGCCACCUCGCGGUUCAUGCUGGCUGCCGGCGUGCCCGCCACCGGCAUCAGCGGCAACGGCAGCGGCCGCGUCAGCUUCGCGCCGGUACCAAACAGGCUGGGCAGGAGGCUCGUGGUGCGGGCCGAGGAGGAGGCCGCGGCACCGGCCGAGCCCGCGGCGGAAGGGGAGGGCGCCGUGGCCACCAAGACCAAGGCCGAGAAGCCGCCGCCGAUCGGGCCCAAGAGGGGCGCCAAGGUUAAUUAUAUUAGUACCAUCAUCCGUGUGCUCAACUGCUGGUGAUGCAAUCCAUUGCUUAAUCUCACUCACUCUCCAAUUCUUGUGCUGAUCGCCAGGUGAAGAUCCUGAGGAGGGAGUCCUACUGGUACAACGGGAUUGGCAACGUCGUCACAGUUGAUCAGGUUACUAUUCUUACACCACCCGAAUCAAAGGCCCCUCAGUAGACUACAAGCUAAGAGUGUCAUCGGAAAUUCUAUAGCAUAGGGACUAAACUCAUUACACUCCUAGAAUAACUCUGUUUCAGCUGUUCAAUUCUUGUAGCAAUGAACCCAGAAAAGGCGAUAAAAUUGAGCAUUUGAUUCGUUUGUGCAGGACCCCAACACCCGCUACCCGGUGGUUGUGCGGUUCAACAAGGUGAACUACGCCGGCGUGUCCACCAACAACUACGCCCUGGACGAGAUCCAGGAGGUGAAAUGAGAGAGGCUGGCUCAAGGGCCUCCGUGCUCCCCUGUGGUUGGUAGUUGCGAAAUGAGGGAUGUGAAGCUGCUGUGGUAGCGUCACAACAUCUUGUGUGUGAUAGCUUAAUCUCUGUAAUCAUUAUGUAAUUGCUUUGCUGCUUGCUUCACCGUGGACUAAAUAAUCUCCUGCCCUUAAAUUGUUGUAUUCUUUUCUUGUCAUUUUGUACAUGCUCAUAAACCUCUUCCCUAUAGCACCGUUUGCACGAUGCUGGAAACUCAAUUCAUAGUAGCUGUAAGGGUUCGUACACCAUCUCAGGCUUUGGCUUUGGUAGAGCUUGGUGACCAGCGUUCAGUAUUAAAGACCAUGGUACAAAUUGAGCGAUAUUACAACACCACCAAAUUACUCCUCCAGUUUUUACAUCUGCUAGUUUCAGCUUUCACAUAGCAAUAAAAAAAAAUAUAGCAACCUACUCUAAGAUGUGUGUGACAGCAUUAAUUACUGCCUUCUGGAACAGGUCAAGCCCGAGACUUGAAAAUUUUCAAAUGCUGCCAAACCACUAACAUUGAGUUUGAGGUAGUUCAGAGUGUUCUUCACAAGUUCCUGUUACACCUGCCAGAAUGUUCAGACUCUGAAGACCCUGCCCCUCAUGGAUGUCUCUCUUCAAAAGUAGGCAUAAACAAAGAUCCGCCACUCAUCCGAAUCAAAACUGCUAUCAAAACUGAAAGCUUCACACAUGCGCACUGAUCCAUUGGUAACGUUAUCCAGACUAAAGUUAGGGACUUCAUACCAGAAAUUAGCAAUCGUCGCUAUACCCGAGGCCCAUAGACAGCCUACAAGUCAUUGCCUGGUCAAAUCAUGUAUCAUCCUUGCUGGAAUGCUUAGUCGCAAUAUAGUCUAAUCACGGAGUCAGCACCAGCAGUGAACAACCAAGGCUGUUUUGGAUGGAACUUGCAGUCUAAAACCCCUGCAAACCCAGAAAAGUGGUCAAAUAUUGCCUUUGAGAUAUCUGGAGAGCAACAUAGCGAACCUGUAUCAAUGUAUAAAUCAGAACCUAACAAAAUAUCUCUAUUCCACAAAAAUUUAGUAAGUUCACGGUUUGUCAUGCCGUGCAUGUCGUCUUUGCACUCAGAGUGAUGCACCCUCCCCCCUACCCACAAGAAAACUAAUGGCGCUCGAUCCAAUUGACAAAGAUUAGUAACAGAUGCAACUAUUUUAAUCUAACAAGAAUUACAACUAUAUUAAUUCUACAAGUUUCCCUACAAAACAGAACCAUAUGUAAUGCAGUAGCCUCAUAGCUGGGUUUAAGACCAGUAUCUGAACUGCAGCAAUGAAGACGAGAAAAAAUCUACGCAUGUGAACAAAAAUCUAGAUGAAAAGAUUGAAAAUUAUUGAACCAAUGGCAUGCAUACCUCUUCCAUCUGAACUAGAAUGGCCACGAAGAAUUUCCAAUGGUACAAUAAGUGGGUUCUGGUUAAGAUCAGAAUAGACCAUUCCAUGACAUACAUAGGCAGUACAAUCCUCGGAGGAUGAGGCAAAAAGAGGGUACUUUCUGUGAAAAGUAACACUCGUAAUAUCCUUCGAGUGGGUCCUGAAAAUUAGCAAAUAAGUUACCGGAAUUUCUAAAUGAAAAAAGCAGCAACAGCAUCAAAGACAAGAUUGCCAAAUAGAACUGUGGAAAUUUUACAUCAAAAGAGAUUACUUUGACCUUCACGAUGCAGUGGACAAAUAAAAGAUGUUGAUUGACAAUUGUAAGAGUGCAAGCAGUAACCACACCAUCCAGGCAGCAAAACACCAUGUUUUACCAACAUUGCAACAGAUUUAUCAAUAUAUUUGGACAGAGGAAAUCAGGAUCACCACACAUCCACAUGGGCAAUCUACACUUAUUUAAAGGACGUGGAACACAUGAAAAUCAGCUUAUAAGAUGCAUCUCAAUAUUCAUUUCCAUUAUUUUUCCAGGAAAAUGGAAUUCCAGCAUCCAUACCCAUAGGAAGGUUCAUAUACCAUGCAAAGAAUUUAAGAGUGCCUAUAUUGGUAACCUUGGCUGCAUAUAGAGAUCUUGAAAAAUUACAUCUUUUUCUUUCAAAGAAAGGGGAUUAAAAAGAGAAGAAUCAUACUUUAGAGUCUUGUAUGGUCGUGUAGAUAGGUCAGUAUCAAACCAGCAUAGUUUGCCAUCUUUGCUUCCCACAAUAACAUUAUCACCUACAAAAAAGAAAUGUGAAGUAAUCACAAUACUUAUAGAGUCAAAUUAAUAUUAACCUACCAACAGGUACAAUCAGUUCGAAGCAAGUCCUUGGAAAAAAUUCAAAAUUCAAAAAAAUUACUAUCAAGCUGACUUGUGACCUACCACCAGGAUGGAUCGAGAUAGAGGAAAUCUCACGAAGACCUGACUCCAGUUUCUUUACCAACUGUGCCUUUUGGAGAUCAUAAACCUGAAUGAACUUCUUAGUAGCAACAAAGAACAUCUUCUCACUUGGAUGGAAUGUUGCCGCAACAGGAAGGCCUGGCAGUUUACGGAAAGGAUGGUGCGAGUGCUUUUUCGAGAGCUGAUGCAACAAUACAGCUUUUGUAUUGCGUACAAAGGAAUUAAGGUGUACAACUGGAUGGGUAAAUUAAAGGUGCCAUAUCAUUGGCCCACAACAUUCAAUGUGACCAUGCAUGUGAACAUAACUAAAAGUACAUAGAGAGGGGCCACACUUAGAAAGAAAAAUAAAACCAGAACAUAUGGAAAUAAAACAAAAUCAAUAAACAUGAUUCAUAAAGGAUAUCACUAGGCACAACUGUGGUAAAGUAAUCUCCCUUAAAAUGCCAGUCCACAUUUGACACAGCCUAAACAAGAAAUAGAUUCGUAAGCAAGCAAAACAAGAUAUUAAGUUCAAAGGGAAACGAAAUUUAAGUAAAAAUCUGGUACGAGACCUUAUGAUGAAUCAAGGUGAUUCCAUCCAGUUUUUCGUGCUUCAUCCACCUCACAGCUGGUUUCUUACCAUCUGCAAUAUAAUAAUAUAAUAGUGUUUCAGAAGACGGAAAAAGGCUAUACAAAGGAACCAUUGAUUGUCUAACAAUUCAACGCACCAGUAUCAUCUUGAGGAACCAUUUCGCCAAUUUGCAGGAGCUCUUUUGCCCUAAUUUGCACUUCUUCACUCCCCACCCCAGCAUUAAUAAGUAGCAGGUCAUGUUCUCUGCGCCAAAUAAAAUGAGUGACAAGAAUAAUUAAAGCUUACAGAUAGGAAAUAUGCUAGAAUAUCAAAAUGCUUACACAAUAGCAGCAAGAAUAGGCCUGUCAGGUGCAGGAUUCCAGGCAAUAUGACAGACAUCACCUCCGACAUUCCAAACUUUAAGACAGCGACCAGUUUCAACCUCCCAAACACGAAUUGUACCAUCGGAAGAACCUUCAGAAAAGGAGUAAUUGUCACUUGACGUUGGCACACUCAGGUUUAUGAAAUGAUCUUCUAAAGCAGAGAAACAGGCCCGCGGCAAUUAACCCUAUAUGCCACAGCUUACCCAAUAUUCCAUGUGUACCCAAGCACAGCCCUCGAUUUUAGGGGCAUCUUAGCAAUUGUAGUCAUUUUUCAAAAGCAGCUUUGAUUUACUAGUUUUUGCAUAUCAUACUAAUAAAAUUUAUCCCCCAUAUAAGAACUAUCUGACUUGAUUAAGAACACAGGUUUUGUUUAGUAGUUAGAUUAUGAGAAGUUUCACAUCCAUUCCCAUGUGAAUUCAGUAACAGAUGAUCUCCACUCCUUUCUAUAUAAAAGAUAAAUUAGAUCUAGAUUUCCCUCCCAACCAAGCUGACCUAAAUUCUGAACUUUUUUUUAUGUUACAAUGAGGAAACAACUAUAAAACUAUUACUUUUGCGAAAGAAAUAGUGAGAUGUAGCUAGUGCUGCUAUUUUUAAGUGACGAAUUGAAAUAUGGAAGAAAAAAAUACUAUGCAGCGCAUUAGCUAAUAUCAACUCAAUUGAGUAUCAGACCAUUAUGUGCAUGUAUAAUCAGAUAAAUACAGAAAACAACAUUAUAAAAAAAUAUAGAAAAAUAUCAACAGUACAUACCAGAUGCAAGCCACUGCCCAGUCAUUUCAACUGAAACUGAUUUCACAGGACCCUCAUGGCCCUUGAACUCAAGGUAACAAGUUUUUGGGUAUGGCCUCAAAUCCUUUUUACUUGGUAACUUGGGCUUGAGUGACUCAGGAUCAAUAUUUAUCUAUGGAGUUGUCAAAUAAUUGGCCCAAAUUAGAGACAAAUAGUGUCUUUCAAAGAAAUAGGUGGUAUGAAAAUAACAUAUGAGGCUCUACUUACACGCUUUUUGCGGGUUCUAGGGCAUAGAUACAGAUCUAGACAUCGAUCAAAACCUUCCCUCAGUGCCUUCUCAUAUGCAGGUACACUUCGAAGGGACUCAAAUCUGGUGAAGUACACAACUUAAAUGUCAAAAUAAUUUAGACAAUACAAGACAAUGGACAAGGAAAAGGAACAAUGUCAAAUAUAAUACCGUUUUGGAAUAAACUUUGGACGAUCCUCCUCAUACAUAAGCUGGUAUGAAUCUAUUUCCUCUUGCGUGGGAAUGUAUUCAACAGAAGGAUUAUAUGACUCUUCAUGACCUGAAUACACCAUGAAGAAUGAAUAGAAAUUUAAAAACAUAUACAAACACUCAGUGAAAAUAUGUUCUAACAAUUUAUGAAUGAUUAUUAUAGAAGUGACUAAUUCUGAAAAAGGGUAUGACAAAAUACCUGGUAAAUUAGGUUUAGGAGCUGGAAUGUAGCUCAAGCCUUGCCGCUUAUUAUCUGCUGUAUCAGUUUCAUCUCCCCACAAUAGAUAUAAGUUAGUUUCCUCCUUUGGCUUAUCAAACUUUAUCCAUCCAUUACGAAUGGCUCUUACAAGUUUAACAACCUGCCACCAGAACACAUGAGCUCAAAUUUCUGAGGGAAGGUGCAAAUGACUUCAGAUGCAAUACACAGUUCAAGAGAGAAUAUCCAAAAUAAGUCAACACAAAAUUUGUCCUGUUCAAACAAAAAAGAAGCUACACAACAGAAUAACAGUAAGUUAUGUCAGUUCACAAAUUCACUAGUGAAUCAUCACUCAAUCACAACACUAGUGAAUGCAUAACUCAGUCAUAAUACUAUUAACUGUUACUUCCUAAAUAUGUGGUAUUUUCAAAGAUGGGAGGCCCUAGCUGGUCUCCAGCAUGUCAUGUCGAAAGGAAUUGAUCCCAAACAAUCAGGCUCAACUCUAACUAAAUUAGAUACUGCUGUUGAUAUUAGAAGAUAAGAUUACAAUUAAGAAUGGACAAUGAAAUGAUCCAGUUCCACCCCUCACUAGCCAUCUAUUUCAUGGGUUUUCAACCAUUAAUAGUCUACCCUCUCAUCCCUAGCCGCCGCCACCACCUGGAAGCCUGUCAGGUGGUGUUUAUCCUGUUAGAUCCAAGGAUUAAUAAAGGCUGCCAGCUAACAAGCAGAUGCUUAGGCACUGCCUAGGCAACCAAAUACCUUCCAGGCGACAGGGAGUGAUGUCAUGUGUGACUAUAUUCUUUUAAAUUUUUUCUUUGUGUAAUUCUAUGCUAUUAAUAGACUUGGACCACCGGCAAGACAUGCGGAUUACCCCCAUAAUCAGUGUGGCAGGAAAUCAGAUUCACCAAGUGCCUAACCACUGCAUAGGCAAUUUUUAUUUUAUCAGCUAGGUGCCGAACGUUUGAAAUGCUGGAAUAAAAAAAUUUGGUAUUUAACGAAUUUGAUAUUUAACUCAUGACUAUUCAUUAGAUCAUGCUCAAUGGGGUCAAUUAUUUCAAUGAAUCAGUAUAUAGAGAUCUGGAAAGAACUCAGUACUAGAACAUUCAUCCAAGCUGUCAGAUCAAUAAAAAAUGAUCUAAUAUAACAGAAGGGAGAUGAAAUGCACAAUAUACCUUCUUCUGCUCCCACUUUGAAGGCACGAACCGCCUCUUUGGCUCAGGGGCACUAGAAAGCGGAUGACCUUUAUCCUCGUAUUCAAACCAAUCAACAUAAUCCUAACAAAUAAAAGUCAGUCAGUAUGUUGCAUCCAUGUAUUAUAAACAUAUGGACUGGAAAAAAAGGAAACCAGUGAACUGUAAAAGAACAAUUCAUUUGCAUGAAUCUGGACAGAAUUCAUUGCCACCAUGGAUAACAAAUUCAAAAUCAUGUAUAUCUGUACAGGUUAUUAUCAGCGAAACUAAGGUUAUUAUCAGAGGAAAAAAAGUUAUGCACUGGCCAUAUGUCAGCAAAGAAUCAGCCAGCAUUUUCGCAUAGUACUUAAGCUAAUAGCAGAUUGAGUUCUCAUUAAAGUUUUAAUGAAAUCACUUGCAUGUCUUUUCAGUCACCCACAAAGAUAAUAUUAGGCCACUUGAUCAUUUAUUUAACAUAUACACUUAGCACCUUGAUUAAAUAUAUAAUAGAUAAGGAUUGGAGUACACACUGGAUAUGGAUCAACAUUGGCAUGUGGAGUCCUUCCCUUUAAUAAUCUACUAAUUAUCUUAGCCUCUUCCUUUGUAAUCUGAACCUCCUCAUCAUUAUACUCAUCAUAGAUCUUUCUCCUACAUUUGGUGGGGAAUAAAAGAAAUUAUGAGGUUAAUUAAAUGAGCAAAAAAAAAAUCCAAAUGGUACAAGGUGUAAAGAUACAGAAAUGGUACAGGGUAAAACAACCAGAUACAUCUGUUAGGCAGAGGGAGAUACAAAUUUUCCAUAUUUUAAUAGUUAUGGUUUCAAGAGGUCCAAGCAUAUUCUGAAAGAAACCUAGAUUGUGUAUAGUCUUGAGCACUGAAUCAAAAUGAUUGUAAUAAAUUUGCUUAUUGCAUGUUCUUAGAAAAAACUAUAAAUGUACAGAAAUGACAUACAGCUAGAUUGAAUGAAAAUGAAUUUCAAGUUGCAAGAUUUAUAGAUGUACAGAAACGUCAGGUAACUAAGCCUUGUUGAUAGCAUUUUUUUUUCCACGAAUAUGCAGAAGAUCCACACAUCAUUGCAUUAAGUGAGAAGAAAGCCGAACAAAGUCUCACCAAGAACAUCGACCAACAACAGCGACCUUACACAAACAAAAACAAACAAGCAGGCAAUGUAUUACACAACCAAACAUACUGUUGAUAGAAAUGGAAAGCCCAAAGUUUUAUAUCAGGAUAAAAGUUUAAGGUAUGGUUCUUGGAACCCCCACACAGGAUGGACCUACAAACAUGUAGUAACUCUUUGGCUUUCAUCCUCGCUUCACCCCAAACGAUCAACCUAGAGCUGCUACAUUUUGAUGUUAAGUUUAUAUUCUCUAUUGCUCUACACGUCAAUACGUCAUAAAGCCUCAAUGGAUCUAAUCCCACUACUAAAACAUUUAGGCCACACAAACCACCGUAACUGGGCUGGGGUGCAAACAAGGAUAACCACUGAAAAUAUCAUAUAGAGUCCACUAUAAGGGUAAACAGAAUCUUUGGUAGAUGUCGCCUUCGAACAAACAAAGAUGAGAGCGGCACAAGUUAUUACCCCAACUAUCACAAUUAAUUUGAUGAAACCAGUUGUAGCUAGAUAAAAAACAAUCUUUAAUGUGGGAACUCUCAUGUAUAAGCCUAUAGAUGUUUUAAGUCUGCAGUCUCCAAGAACACAAUGUUGGCCAUAAAUUGUAAAUCCUAACACACUACAAAUACAAGGGAGCAAUUAGCUCGGCGAGACUCAAGAUGUGUAAAUUAGAAAAUAGCUUCCAACGUGAGCUUGAUAAGUUCCAGGGCAACUUGUCUGUGAUACGCUGAUGUUAUUUUUCACCUUACAAAAUUCCUGUGGGGUUACCAACCACUGAGCAAAUCAUCCCAAACAAUAAAUCUGUGGCAAUAUAAACAUGCACCAUUGCCAUGGGACCAUUAUCAAGCUUAAUCAUUCACCCAUUCAAUAGUUGUUCAAAUUGAUGAAAGCUGAUUGAGUGACUGCUACAGAGCAAGCUCAAGCUUUACCAAUUCUUAGCGUCAUCCGCGUUCCUGAGGUAGGCUUCGAUGCGGCCCUCCCUAUCGCGCUUCUUGAUCUUCCUCCCAUCAAUGUCGUACCCAAUGUGCUCCUCGUCCUUGUACCACUCCAGAGGCACGUCCCCCACGGUGUUCCUUGGCGCCACCUGCAAACAACAGUAACACGUACUCAGGCAAGCAAUACGGAGCAACGAUUCGCGGCUUAAGCAACUCAAAAACAGUAACAACAAGCUCAUUUUAACCUCAAAUACUCAAGCGAGCAACACGGAGAAACAAACCAGUCUGCGAAUCAGCAGCUUAACAACUCAAACACUGAGAAAGCGAAUGGCUCACCUCAUCCUCCGACGAGUCGCUCUCUUCUGCCACCGCCUCGUCGGACUCGGCGUCGGACCCGGAGCCCUCGCCGCUGUCCUCGAACGACACCGAGUCCUGCAACCCACGCCACAAAACCCUCAAAAUUUGCUCAAAAUUAGAACGCCGCAAGGGAAAAAAAUCGGGGACAAAGGCAUCAGAAACUCUCUCACCUCGCCGUCGUCCUCGGACCAGACGCCGUCGCUCCAGGAAGAGUCGUCGGCAGAUAGGUCAUCGCCCUCGUGCUCGUGCUCCCUCUCGUUGUGGCCCAUUUUCGUCGCCGGAAGGCUUCACGUGCUGUGGCGUCGUGGGAGAGGAGGCGAGGCGGAGGUGGAGGCGGCGGCGGGUUUGGGAGGGGGAUUCGCGGCGCGCUGCCGGCCGGAUGGACGGCAAUCUAGCGGCGGACCGGUUGUUUCAUGGGCCGGGACACUCUAGUUGUGAGACACACACAACUUCUCUGAGCCCUUCGGUAAUGGCCCCCCUCCUCAUGGGCCUGAAACGCAGGCCAAAAUUCAUAUCUAUAUUUGGGUCAGUAACCCGAGCAGUAAUUUGCAGAGUUCGGAAAGAACGAAUCCUACUGCAGUACGGCAGAAAAAAAUUUAAUGAAAAUGAUGAAAAAGGAAAAAAUGGACCAGAAUUCCAAGAAAAAAGAGCAGCAAAUGAAGUAGGAGCAUCUCUAGUUGUUUUCCAAUCCUCAUUAACCUCCAAUAUCUAUUUCGUCAUAUAGCGGAUGACCACAGGACCUUAUUUCCAAUAUCCCCCUAACAUGUGGGACCAACUCGUUAGCAGGUCAAUUUUUUUUACUUUCUCUCCUUUUCCUUGUUUUCUUUCUUUCUCUCCUCUCCCUCUCUCCCGCCUCUCUGUAAUCUUGACUAGGGAUGUACAGCCUAGUAAAGGAUGAUACUAGAUGGUGCGGGCACCCAUCCCCUAAAGGAUGAUACUAGAUAGUGCGGACACCCACGAGAGGGUGGCGAAACAUGACCCGUUAGGACAAUGGCGCGACAAUGGUGUGGGGCAGCUUGCAGCGGCAACGUGGGUAACAUUGAAGGGCGGGCUAGCAAAUGGGAGGACCGGCUUAGAAAAGAGUAAUAAGAGGGACGGAGGAUUGUCCGAUUUCUUUAUGUGAUAGUAAGUGGAUAAAUCAUGUGUUCUAGUUUCAAUUCAAACAAGGCCCCUAAAAGUUUAUGAAGCUUUGCAUCAAAAAAAAUAUUCUAAAGCCAAAACCAGCUCUUCCAAACGAUCGUCCUUGGCCAUGAGGUAAUCAAUGCGGGUACAUUUAAAGCGGCUGCAAGGUACAGCUUGCAGGCUCCCUUCUCAUGCUGUCUGCAUUUUAUUGUAGGCCCUGUUUAAUUCACCUCCAAAUUCCAACUUUGAUACUAUGAAAAAGAAAAUACCUCAUCACAUCAAACUUGCGGUACAUGCAUGGAGUACUGAAUAUAAACGAAAUUAAAAACUAAUUACAUAGUUUUGUUGUACUUUGCGAGACGAAUCUUUUGAGCCUAAUUAGUCAAUAUUUGGACAAUAAUUCACAAAUACAAACGAAACUACAGUAAUUUUGGUUGCCUAAAGUUAGGCACCUAAACAAGACCGUAGUUUUGGUGCUGGCGAGCUGCAGCUGCAGGCCUGCAGCGCAGCCCAAACAGUCCACGGGAAGGCAGAGUACCUGAACCUGCAAGACUACCCAAACCUGCUCCAGUGGUGGUUCGAAAUCUGACAACGCAGGCCUUGUUUAGUUCCUAAUUUGGGAGUGGUAAAAUUGACAUUUUACCAUAAAUGCGCAACUGUAGCGUUUCGUUUGUAUUUAUGAAUUAUUGUCCAAAUAUUGACUAAUUAGGCUCAAAAGAUUCGUCUCGCAAAGUACAACAAAACUGUGCAAUUAGUUUUUGAUUUCGUCUACAUUUAGUACUCCAUACAUGUACCACAAGUUUGAUGUGAUGGGGAUCUUCUUUUUGCAUAGUGUCAAAGUUGGAAGUUUGGAGGGAACUAAAUAUAGCCUAAAAUUGAGCACAGAAUCUCCACUCCAAAACUAGAGUGAACAUGCCCUCGUGCUCGUGCUCCCUCUCGUUGUGGCCCAUUUUCGUCGCCAGAAUAUCAGGGAAAUGUUUGACCAGAUACAGUGCGAGCGCACAGCUUCUGAAAAACGCUCUGGUCCAGAAGGAUGGGAAGCCGCCUUUGGCACAUCCGUGUCGACAAUAUUUGUUGGGCUCUCCAUUGUUUGAUUUGUCGUAGAAUCUUUGUUUGCCAAAUUCAUACAGUAGUCCAUGUAGUCUGGAUUCUGAGUUUUUGUUGCGGGUUAAUAGGUAAUUCUUUUUGUCAAGUUAAGCUAUGGUGAUGCUUCGACAUAUUUCAAGAACAAACUUUUUCAAAAUUUGCAGCAUUAUUUCAAAAUUUGCAGCAUUAUUUGGGGGCUUUAUUACUCAACUAAGUCUUACUUUAAAGUUUAAAUAUGUACUCCUCUCCUUUUUAAAAAAGAAAUUCGUAGAAGUUCCGAUUGUGCUUGCUAACUCUGUUUGCACUUUAAGCAGAAGCGAGUGUAGCAGUUGCAUAACCGAACAGAAGCGUGCCUUUGUCUUUUGUGUUGUACUAUUUCUUUUUCACAGUCGUGCAUAUCCCAGCUGACUUUAAGGUGCUCUUCUCUUACCAUUUUGUACACUUUCAUAUUUGUUUCUAUGAUGCGAAAGAAGUAUUGUAAAGAGCUGACAAAUGAAUUUCAAAUACAGGUGAAGCAAUCACUGUGUCAAAUAUUCCGAGCUAUUUUGGAAUAAAUUGUAUAGUCGCUACUGGCUAUCCGCCGAUCCCUACAUACGUAGGCCAUAAAUCAACUUAUAGCUUAAUUUAACGUGAAUACAUGUGUCCACAGUGUACCCGUACAACGUGUAUUUCUUUUUGAAAAAGAAGUGGCAGGAGUUCUGCCCUUCAUAUGUACUAAUAAAGGAGAAGAGCCAUGUCCAACAAAAUACAAGAGAGAGCCUAAGCUCGGUAAGAGGCCCAAAAAAAAAAACUAGUCACCCGCCCAAAAAAUACUAGAACAUUUGGCGUCCGCCAAGCACCAAGAGUAAAAGAUAACAAAAGCGUGAUUUGGACAUACAUGAUUUGGACCCUUGUGGUUGGAGUCAUAUGUACUGUGGAUGUGCAUCCACUUAUCAAGUUGCGCUCUUCUUUUGGGAUAAAUUACGAGUAAGGGUGUGGAGGUAGCAUUUAAUCAUUAUAUGGACCAUAAAAAUAAAUCUAUACCUAAUAUAUUAAUAUUAAAUGCGGUAGUUUUUUCCAACCGUCGUAAUCGUUUUGCAAAAAAGUUCCUGAUUUUUUUUCUUAAUCAACACGCAGUCCUAAUCAUGGAAGAAAUCCUACAUCCGUUCUGCACAGUUUCCCACGCGCAAAAAAAAUGGCUGCUGCGAAUUCCCCAUGAGGCGAGCGCUCCCCGCUCCUGGGCCUGGCUGCUGUGUGUGCUGCCUCCUGCAUAGCAAGCUUGGGCUGGCCUGCGUGAGUCAAGCCAAUCAGUGGACAAUAGCGAAUCGUAGCGAUCACAGAUAACAUCAUUACAGUCCAUGAGUGCAUGCAUUUUAUGAAGAAGAAGCGAGCUCAAGAUAGUAGGUGUUGUGCCCUAAAGCUGGAUAUGAGGAAAGCUUAUGACCGAGUAGAGUGGGAUUAUCUACGGUCAGUCAUGAUACGGCUUGGUUUUCACCGAACCUGGGUGGAGUCGAUUAUGAGAAUGGUGACCACGGUUUCAUUCUCGGUGCUUUUCAAUGGUGAACGGAUGGACUCAAGGGGUAUUCAUCAAGGGGAUCCAAUCUUUCCCUACCUCUUUUUGUUGGAAGCAAAUGGCCUUUUGUACAUGUUAAAAUCACGAGUUCAGUCAACGCAACUUAAUGGCAUCAAGGUGGCUCCAUCGACUCCGGUGGUGAGUCACUUACUCUUUGCGGAUGACAACCUGCCGUUCUUCAAAGUGAAUAGGGAGAGUGUGGAGGAAGUUAAGAACGUGUUACAAGUGUAUUGCAAGGCGUCAGGGCAGCAAGUGAAUAUGGACAAGUCAUCUAUACACUUUGCUAAGGGGUGCUCAGGAAGCUUAAGAGCAGAAAUAAAGAAUAUUCUAGAGGUUAAUAAUGAAGCUCUAAGUGAGAAAUAUCUAGGGAUGCGUACCAAUGUAGGCAGUUCAACAAAUGGUGCAUUUAAGUACCUGAAGGAUCAAGUGUGGAAACGAGUGCAGGGCUGAUGGAGCAGACGUUAUCGUCGGGAGGGAAAGAAGUGUUGAUCAAAGCAGUAGCCCAAGCUAUACCGACCUGCUUCAUGUCUUGCUUCAAGCUCCCGAGGGGACUGUGCAAAUGUAUUGAUGGGCUGCUUCGAAGCUUUUGGUGGGGGAGUAAGGAAGGGAAACGUAGGAUAUGCUGGGUAGCAUGGGAUGACAUAACUAAACCUAAAUGUGCAGGUGGCCUGGGGUUUAGGGACAUUGAAAUGAUUAAUCUAGUGUUGCUAGUGAGGCAAGCUUCGAGAAUUAUGCAAGAGCAAGGUUCACUUAGUGCAUGAAUCCUUAAAGCAAUCUACUUUCCUGAUGGAGAUUUCUUGGAUGCUGAAGUACGUGAGUCACCAUCAAGGGUGUGGCGAGCAAUUGUUGAUGGCAAAGAGGUACUCAAGCAAGGGAUCAUUCGUAGGAUUGGCAAUGGCGAGGAAACACAUAUCUGGAGCAUGAAUUGGCUGCCAAGGGACUGCAUGUUACGUCCUGUGUGUUGCAUCGGAAAUAAUCCUCCACAGAUAGUCAGUGAUCUCGUUGAUCAAAUAUUGGGGACUUGGAAUUGCCACAAGCUAAAUCUUUUCUUCACUCCGAUGGAUAUAGAAGUUAUCACAAAUAUCCAUCUUAGCUCAAAUGGAAGGGAUGAUUUUUGGGCAUGGCAUUACGAGUGGAUUGGCAUUUUCUCUGUCAGAUCUGCCUAUAGAAUGUUGGUACACAACAAAGGAGUUAUAACAGCUCUGGGAGGUCGGAUACACACGUAGUGGAGAAGGAAUGGACUGACCUAUGGAAGGUCAAGGUGCCAUCAAAGAUUCACAUGUUCUUGUGGAGGUUUGCUCGCCAUUCUAUCCCAACAGGUGACGUGCGCCACCACAGGAACAUGGCUCUGAACAGCUGUUGUGGUUUUUGUGGAGCUUUGGACUCAUGGAGACAUUCAUUGCUAGAGUGCAACAUGUCCUGGUGUGUCUGGGCACUGGAACACGAUGACAUUACAGAAGUUUUGGGUCAGAUUCAGAAUCAAGAUGCCCGAGGUUGGCUGAAGGAGGUGAUGGAGGUAUUGCCACAUGAUAAACUUAUACGGGUGUCUUUGGUGCGGUAAUGCUCUUUGGUGCCGAAAGUGACAGGUAAGACGACUUGUCCUAGUGGGAUAGCUGCGUUGCCUAGGACGAUUCCGUAGAAGGGAGAAUUCAUUGGGGUAAGCAUUUCAGUGAUGUCGAGGCCCAUCUUUCUUAGAGUCUUGGCGAAAAUGACGUUGAGUCCACUGCCGCCGUCGAUGAGUACUUUGGUUAGUCUGGAGCCUGCAACAAUUGGGUCUAGUACCAGAGGGAAACACCCUAGUUCUGAGAAGUUGGUCCAUUGAUCUUUUCUGCUGAAGGUAAUGGGUACCUCAGAGCAUUUGAGAGGUGUAGGGGUGGUUGGUUCGAUAGCUAUGAUUUCUCUGAGUACUAAUUUGUUGGAUCACUUGGAGGUAGUGCCUGGAAUUCCCCCGAAAAUGAUGUUGACAGUUUUAGACGAUGUCUGGAACUUGUCUUCGCCAUCUUCAAUUUCAUCCAUCUUGCCCUUGCCUUUGUCCUUAUUGUCGUUAUUGUUAUUGUUGUUGGUGGGAGGUUCUAGCAACUCUUGCAUUCGUCUGCGAAGGCUGUAACAGUCUAUUGCAGCGUGUUUGCUGUAUGGGUGCCAUGGACGUAUUUCAUUGAAUGAAGGGCCAUCAUUUCGUUUGUUUGGUCCUUUCUUGCUUGAGUUUGACAUUGCUGCAACGGUAUAGUCUGGUUUACGCUCUCAAUUUUGAUUGCCCGAGUAGUUGUUUCGGUGAUCGCCGUUGCGGUUUCUGUCUUGUUCUUGGUUGUUACCUUGGUUAUUGUUGUCACAUCCACAAUUGCGAUGUGAUUCGAACCUUUCGCAUUCCUUAUCUUCUUCAUAAACCUGUGACUGAGCCAUAAUUUUGAGUUUGACAUCCGCUGGGCGGCGUCUACCAAAGUCCUGGAACAUGUGUCGGUCCUAGAGGCCAUUUUAAAAAUAUUCUAUCACGUCUAGUUUUGAGAUGUCGACAAUUGUAGCCUUUUUGUUUAAAAAACGGCAUAGGUAGUUGCGUAGGGAUUCAUCCUUUUGUUGCUUAAUCAGAGCCAAGUCAAUUAUGUUGCCAGGGCGUUUCAUAGCUCCCGCAUAGUUGCUUGUAAAAUCUUUCUUUAGAUCAGACCAUGAGUCGAUGGAGUUAGGCUUCAAGGAUUCGAGCCAAGUUAGUGGCGUGGGUUCCAUGCAAACGGAAAAGUGGAUGAGCUUUGUGUCAUCGCUUUCGCCUGCAGCUUGGACUGCUAGUGAGUAGUAGCUGAGCCACUGAACUGGGUCUUGUUUGCCAUCAUGCUUAGUAAUGUCGAUUGGUUUGAAUUUCUCUGGAAGAGUAGUCUUCAUGAUUUGUCUUGUGAAAGCAGAAAAGUGGUCAUUGUCAUCAUCCUCAGCUUCAAGUUCACGACGGCGAUUGUUGAUUAUAUCUCAAGCAUCAUGGUUGUGAUUAAAUGUUUCUCGAAGAUCACUGAUGUGCGAGGGUUCUGGGUUAGCUUUGCGGUGACGUGGGCCUUUCGCGGAGGCUGUACGACUACCCUUAGUUGUAUCUCUGUUUCAUCUUGGAGCUUCGAGUACGCCCCUAUGUUGUCUUGGUUCUUCAUGUGAUUGGUUUGAGAGUCUUGCAUGGUCUCUACUAUCAUCAUGGUGACUUGGUUUGUGAGGUUCGGUUGGGAUUGGUGUUUCCUUAUCGAGGAGUUGGUAUGCAUGUUCUGCCAAGUAUGACAGGAGAUCGCUGUAUUUGUUUGGAGACAUUGACCGGGCGAUAAGGUCGAUAGAGGCAAUAGUGGCAAGUGGUGUGUUGUGUUCUCGUGUUUGUAUUGCUUCAAAUGCUCUGUCAAGGUUCACAAUGGGAACUCUUGCAGUUAGAAGUCGACGACGUUCCGCUCUUUGAGUGUUUCUUGCUCUUCUUUGAGUUCUCUGGCUGCUAGUUUCAUCCUCCGGGGCGUCAGCUGAUAAUUCAUCUUGGGAGACUUCUUCGAUUUGGUGUUCCCAUUGAGGGGUUGUUUGGUGUUGAUUGAUGAUUCUUGUUCCAUCGGCUGGUGAAACAACAACAAAGAGUUCUCCAUCCGAAGAGUAGCUUUCAGAGCUGGAUGUCAUGACUUCAGUGGAGCCAUCUUCUUCACGGAUCGGUGAGAGUGGAGUGCCCUCUUGAUAUGAGAGGAUAUCCAAGUGUGCGACGAGGCGUGACUCGUUGUCUUGAGCAAGAAAGGAUGGCUUCAUGCCCGGCCAGUAGACGAAUCUGCCUUGCAGUGUUGAUGUGAUUACCAGGCCCUGCUGCGGACCUGAUAAGGGGAGUUUUUCAAGAGAGUCCAAGUCGUGGUUCUCUGUUGACUCCAAUCCGUAUUGGACUUUGGAUAAAGCUUUUUGAUGAGUCGUGACCGCGUUUCGGAGUCCGAGCGGGAAUCGACUUGAAGUUGUAUCAUUUUCAUACGAUGGCUGAAUUGCCUGUCUGCGUGGACUAGUCCGAGUUGUGGUUGAAUCCAAGUUGUGGUCGAACCUGGUGUUAUUCAGAUAAAAAAAUUCAAGUUUCUCGACGAAAUCUUUUGCCUCAUGUCGGCGAGAGUUUCCGCCGAGAUGCUUCUUCUCUAGUUCUUCAAUGAUGCAAUGUUGGAAACCUCCAAUGCCGUCAGCGAUGCAGAGCCAAGAGCCAAAAAUGAAUGUUGCGGUCGCUUCAAACAUGAACGCUGGCUUAAUGAUAACUGGAGCCAUCGAUCUCGCGUGGAGAAUUCCUGCAACUUCCCCUACCUGGCACGCCAGCUAUCGGUGUUUUAACCCGGCAACCUAUCAAGGGAGGACCCGAGAUAGUGUUUUGGUUGGUGGGUGUUGCCGAAAUCAAGGAGUCGAUGGUGACGCAGGGACACGAUUUAGACAGGUUUGAGCCGCUAGAUCGCGUAAUAACCUACCUCCUGUGUGUUGUAUGUUUGUAUUCAUUUAAACCCUUGUUUUGAGGGGGUCCCUGCCUACCCUUAUAUAUUGGGGGAGCAGGGUUAUAGGGUAGUCUUUGGUACAAGAGUACUAGUCGGACAAGACUACAGAGUCCUACUAUAACUCGGCAGAGUAGUUUCCUUGUAUUCUGACUAGUCCUUCAGGAGUUCCAUGUAGUCUAUGUUGCCCUGUAGCGUAGUCUUCAUGUCCUGAUAUGUCUCGAGUGCGUCCCUUUGAGUGGGUCCGUAUAGAUCUUCUGGUGGGCCUGGGGGAUGUAUGGUCGACAACGGGUGGUUGUGAGAUUGUGGGCAGUAUGGCAUGCAGGGCGCAAGGCAAUUCAUUAGAAUAUAUUCCAAAGUCCGCUCUUGACAUAUUGUUUUAUGGAAUAGUUUAUAACAGAAUUGGAGAUGUUGAAAUCAAGCCCAAAGUCGCAACAACAACUGGAACAGAUUCAGAUUCUAAAGUGGAUACCCCCUCCACAUGAUUUUGCUAAAAUCAAUGUUGAUGCGGCCAUGUCCAAAAAUUUGAACACGGCAGCAGUGGCGCGAAGUGCUGUUGGUGCUUUUGUUGGAGCAUCAGGUAUGGUAGUGAAGGGGGUCAUAGGCGCCAAGAUAGCAGAAGCACUAGCAUGCAGGGAAGGCCUAGCACUAGUAAGCGACCUGCUCAUUCAGAAAUUCACGCUGGCGAGUGAUUGUGCUAGUAUUGUCAAGAAUCUCCAAGGGGCUGGCAUGGGUAGCUAUGGACAGAUCAUCCGGGAGAUCAAUGCAGGGAGAGGAAGAUUUGAAGCUGUUGAGGUUGUGUACAAAAGUAGAAGAUCCAACAUCGAUGCACAUGCGCUGGCUAGGAGCUCGAUUUAUAGUCAGGUCUGUAGACACACUACUAGAAAAAUCGCCUCUAGUACCGGUCUGUAACCCAACUGGUACUAGCAAUUCGGUACUAGAGGGGUCCUUUAGUGUUGGGAUACGAGGUAGGAUUCGCUAGCGCAAAUCAAAAAUUUCUACUGCGUAAACAAGGAAAACUGUCGUAUAUAGAUCACGGGAUUACCACUCGACGCACUGGUGCAGAAGAUGUAGAAUCGCGUCGGGGCAGCGAAGUCGAUCAGCGUAGUCGAACACGUAGUCGAUCACGUUGACGUUGAGCAGCUCCUCAGCAGCUCGUCCACAUGCAGCAAGGUCGUCCUCGUGCCGCGGCUCGUCGUCGGCUCAUUGGCGGCUCGUCGUGGUUCAUCAGCGGCUCGUCCAAGUGCUGCAGGCGCAACACCUCCAAUGUAUUCACACGUGCAGAGAGGAAGAGUCGCAAGCUGACCUACUAGACCGCGAGUUGCAACAGGCGAGGGCGUGGGAGGCGCGGCAGAUGUGUUUCGCCAAAAGGUGUAAACCCUAGGGUGCCCCCACCCCUCUAUUUAUAGAGGUUCCUAACGGGCCUCUGGGUCCGAGGCCCAUUAGUACUUCUAAACCUAAUCCAACUCGGAUCACAUCCGAAUUGGGCUUCCAGCCCCUUAAGUGUGUGACCCUAUGGGUUCGGAUAGGUAUAGACAUGGCCUGAGUACUCCUACUUGGCCCAAUAGUCGGUAGCGGCCUCUAGCAAGACGUGCCAACUCCUAUACGCACACGAAGAUCAUAUCAGACGAACCAUCACAACAUUAUGUACAUGCUAUUCCCUUUGCCUCACGAUAUUUGGUCUAGCUUCAAGCUGACCGCUCUUUCUCGAUCCUGUGAUUUGGAAUCCCUUUGUAGGUUAACUCUUAACCGUACGUAGCAUGACCAUGCAUUUUCGGAUCCGAUCACUCGACGAGCCCAGAGAUAUCACUCUCAGUGAGAGAGGGGCAAAUCCCAUCUUUAUUGACCAUGUCUCACAGCAUGCUUCUUGACAAACCCGAAAGCUACCUUUUUAACUACCCUAUUACGGUGUAGCGUUUGAUAGCCCCUAAGUAAGUCGAUCCACAUCUUGAGUACAUGCGACAAUCUCAGGUCUAAGGACAAAGCGUACAUGUUGUGUAGAGAGAGAACUACUUCUCGUGUUGAGUCAGUCCUAGCACAUAUCUCUACAUAUGCCUACAUUAUUAGUUUGACAUCUCCAUGUCCAUGACUUGUGAAACAUAGUCAUCAACUAAUACAUGUACUAGUCUAAUAUUCAUGUGUGUCCUCACAUGAACUGUGACUAGGGACAACUUUAGAAAAACCAUACAAGUAAAGAGUUUCACAUACAAUUCACAUAAUUGCAAAUCAAUUCAAGUAGCCUUUAAUGGAUAUUCAAGGAACACAAUAUAAAUCAUGGAUACAACUGGAAUAUCAUCAUCUCUAUGAUUGCCUCUAGGGCAUACCUCCAACAUUUAGUACCGGUUGAGAUAACCGGUACUAAAGAGUAUUAAAAAAUUAAAAAAAUGAAAACUCCCGCCGCCGGCCCUGCCCCCCACCGUCAGCCGCCGGCCCCACCGCCCCUCCACCCAAGCCCCUCGCUGCCGCCCCCUCCGCCAGCCCCACACCCUCGACAUCCUACCACCUGCCGCCUCCGCCGGCCCGCCCGCUCACUCCACCUUCGCCCCUCCCCUCCCCUCUGCCUCCGCCGCUGCCUCCGCCGCCUCCCUCCACCGCUCUGCCUCCACCCCGCCGCCACCUCACCUCCACCCCGCCAUCGCCACCACCACCACCUCACCUCGUCCUGCCUCCGCCUCUCCGCCUGCCCGCGCUCUGCCGCUCCUUGCCCAGCCGCACCUCGUCCCACUACGCCUCGCCGCCUGCCCUCCUCGCCCCACUGCUGCCACUCCUCGAUGGCCGCCGCCGCUCCUCGCCUCAGCCACGAGGUGAGGGGCGAGUGGAGGAGGAGGAAAGGGGAGGCUGGGGAGGAAGGGAGGGGGCCGGUGGAGGGAGGAGGAACUCCUGGUGCUAAGGAUCGGGUGAGAAGGAGGGGAAGGAGGAGGUGAUGGGGAAGGAGAGGAGGCACUGAGGAUAAGGGCGAGUGCGACGGGGCCGUUGGAAAUAAAAAAAUGUGACGCGUGGACGGAGGGAAGCUUUAGUACCACGUGGGGAGUCCACCCGGUAUUAAAGGGGCUCCUCGGGGACUAUUUCUUAGGCCUGGUACUAAUGCUAAUAAUAGUACCGAGCUAAAAAGUUACCGGUACAAAGCCACAGGACGAGAGGUCAUUUUUCUAGUAGUGACGUGUGGUUUCUAAUACCACUGGAUGGUGUUUGUAAUUCGUACUCCCAUAACUUUGAAUAAAGAAAAGGUGGAGAGAUCUAAAAAAAGCAGUGAAUCGUAGCGCCUGCACAGGCCAAAUUGGCCGAUGGUGCUGAGCGCCAGCAUAUCAUGUGAUGACAUCAUGGUUCCACGAACCCUUUCUGUGAUUUCUCUUCUAAUCUCCAAAAUAUAUGACAUAUCAAAAAAGUCAUCUCCAAUAUUGUCUAAAUUGAUCCUACUUUAUUUUUCAACAUAAUCAAAGAUGCAUCAUUUGUAUGAUUUCCCUUAUAUUUUCAGCAUUCUUUAGAGAAAAUGAGCUACUUUAGGGAUCGAAGAAGAAUAACGGGAAGAAAUCAACAAGUGCUGCCAGAUCAAAAAACACAAAAAUAUCCAAUACAUGAUGCAAAAAAGAAUUCGAUGAGAGGUCGGCUUUUAGCUUGGAGGGGACAACACCUCUGCCUAUACACUUUCUCAUCCUCAAGGUUGCUGCUACCACAAGCUGGCCAUGAUGCUUGCAGUUCUCCACUAACACCCAUCGCCGUUUAAGGAUGUGCAUGGGGCUCGUCCACGUUGGAGGCACCAAGCACUGCAAGCUGACCACAACCUCAUUGCAGGACAAGCAUGAGGCUAGAAUUGUGCUGGCUGCUGCCAGUCUUAAGAAUUUUGGCCGAAAUUUCGCGUAUUUCGUAAAAUUUUCAUCUUUUCAGUGGUGACCGAAAUCACUAUUUGCCUAAAAUUUCAUUCUCUUCAUCGAAAGGUUCACCUUUUAGACCAAAUUUUGGUCAAAAUUUCACGAAAUUCAAUUUUUUCACCAGGGACCGAAAAAAUCAUAAAACGAAAUCCUAAUCCCUGGCUGUUGCAUGGCGCCCAGCACGCAUUGCGCACUAACCUUCCAUAAUAGAUACGUUAUUGGAUGUGAUGGAAUCAUGUUGAGCAUUAUAGUGUGAUAAUAUAUGCGUAUAGCUUGCAUUAACCCGUAGCAACACACAGGCAUAUUUGCUAGUCAUUACUGGUGCACUUUUUUAGACAAUACUUCCUGUUCCAUAAUAUAGCUACAUUAAGGAUUUAAAAUUUACCCUAAAUAUAUCUAUGUUUAGAGUUCCUAGUUCCUAUCCCACUUACUUCAUGUGAACGAAUCAAAGUACCCCUUAUUACCCUAAUCUACCCUAGAGUCGAAUAACCGGUAACAAAGUGUUGCAAAGUAUUAUGGCCAAUGGGUUUCAUUUUAGCACAGAUGAAUUUUUUGGCAUAUGCACCUGUGCCAUGCAAAUGGAUGAAACAUUACGCCAGAAACGAUUUGUGCUGGCACCUUAAUUUUUGAGUGCUCGUGGGCAUGAAUGCCACCCACUAGCACAAAAGGUGCAAUGGCUAGCGCAUACGCCACCCGCCAGCACAAUAUGUCACCCGUUAGCACAAAUGCAUUUCAAUUUAUAUUCAUGGAGAGGGCCAAAAGUUUCAAACUAGCCAAAAA